GUUUAUGGUUCUCUACGCUGCGAUUGUCAAGGAUUCGGAAGUGGUGCGUGCUGAGUUUGGGGCCCUCUUUUCUCACGGAUGCCUCGAUCUCGGGAUUACCACAGGAAAAGAUCAAGGGAGAAUUACCAAGAAUAGAUUCCUUUUCUGAACAGUUAAGCCUAAAAUGGCCACAACCUUAGACCUUCAGAUUCCAGAGAUGCAGGAAGGACUUCUGGCAAUGAAGGUAAAGGAGGAAGAAGAGGACCAUACCUCUGGGCAAGAAUCAGGCCUGCCAAGAAAUAACCCUCACACUAGAGAGAUCUUUCGUAGACGCUUCAGGCAGUUCUGCUAUCAGGAGACACCUGGUCCCAGGGAGGCUCUUCGAAGACUCCGUUUGCUCUGCCAUCAGUGGUUGAGGCCAGAGAUGCAUACCAAGGAGCAGAUUCUGGAGCUGCUGGUGCUAGAGCAGUUCCUGACCAUCCUGCCUGAGGAGCUCCAGGCCUGGGUGAGAGAACACCACCCUGUGAGUGGAGAGGAAGCAGUAACUGUGCUGGAGGAUUUGGAAAGAGAACUGGAUGAGCCAGGAGAACAGAUCUCAACUAAUGCUCAUGAACAGGAAGAGUUUGUGAAGAAGGCAGCUCUAGGAGCAGCCCAAGAGUCAUCAGGUACCCAGCUCCAAACCUUGGAAGAGCAGCUUCAGUGUAAUUUGCAAGAGGUGUGCCCAGUUCAGGAGACUGUUGGCGAGGCUGGAACUUGGAAUGUGGAGUUAGCCCCAAAGAGAAAGAUUUCUAAAGAAAUGAAAUCUCUUGUGGAAGUACCUCGAAAACUGAAUGGUGAUAUUUCUCAGGUCCCCAAUUAUGGAGACCCAUAUGACCAUGAGGGCGGAUUGGAAAGGCAACGGGUAAGCUCUUUGGUGGAAAGACCCUAUGUCUGUGGUGAAUGUGGGAAAAGUUUCACCCAGAAUUCCAUCCUUAUCGAGCACCAGCGAACACACACGGGUGAGAAGCCCUAUGAAUGUGAUGAGUGUGGGCGGGCCUUCAGCCAGCGGUCAGGCCUCUUCCAGCACCAGAGACUCCACACUGGGGAGAAGCGUUACCAGUGCAGCGUUUGUGGGAAAGCCUUCAGCCAGAACGCUGGGCUUUUCCAUCACCUCAGAAUCCACACCGGGGAAAAACCUUACCAAUGUAGUCAGUGCAGUAAGAGUUUUAGUCGACGUUCUGUCCUCAUUAAGCAUCAGAAAAUUCACACAGGCGAGAGACCUUAUGAAUGUGAAGAAUGUGGCAAGAACUUCAUUUACCAUUGCAACCUUAUCCAGCAUCGGAAAGUCCACCUUGCAAGUGAAUCCAACUAGCAGCUCGGAACAGCAUAGAGAAGAAAUGUUUGUGUGCACACUGUCUUAAAGAAGAAACCAGACCAAGGGCUUCAGCGGACCUGGGUCUGCAUGGCUAUUCCAAUAACCAUAGAGAUUGACAAUGCUGGCACUUCCAUAAGCCAUUUGAGGUACCCAGUGAACUGUGGCAUUGCAUAUAAAUGGGAAGAGUUCUUUCACCUUCAAAUCAUUGCCUGGAUCCCAGCCAUUCAUUCCGAGUUAUAAUGCUCUUAAGUUUGGAGCUGAUCUCUGUUAUCAGUGAUGUGGUGCACCUUAGCACCAGCCUGAAGCAUGCUCACUGCUGCACUGAGCCAGUCCUCUGGGCUUUUCCACCCAGGGAUGGAUUCGUUCUGGCCCUUCUGGUCUAUAGAAGAACAGAAGGAAUGUCAAAUACUUAAAGAAUCUAGCCUGCAUGAAAAUGGAGCUUCUGACUGGGUGCUCUUUAGACAAAAUUUCAGGCAGUUCUGCUGUUAGGAUUCCCUUGGGCCUUGAGGGUCUCUGAGUUGGCUCCAGGCUCUGUGCAGUCAGUGGCUAAAGCCAAACAUUCACACCAAGGAGCACAUCUUGUAACUGUUGGUGCUGAAGUAGUUCCUGAUCAUCCAUUCUGAUGAACUCCAGGCCUGGGUGUAGGAACAUCCCACAGUCAAGGGAGGAGACUGUUACUGUACUGGAGGACUUGGAGAGGGAGCUGGCUCAUCCUGGAGGAAAGUCUCUUCUUUCAGAUGAUUUGGUCAAAAUGGGGAAUGAGAAGGUGCUUCCAAAGCAGAAGACAUCUGAAGAAAUAACAUGCCAACCUGGAAACCUUGUAAGAAUUGAUGGCAGUAUUUUGCAGAACUCUGGAUAGAAGUCCAAAUAUAUCAGAGAAGACUAGAAGUAAAUGCAAAAAAUUCCAAAGGGAGAGAUGGCAUAAGUGUCAUGAAUGUAGAAUGAAUUUUAUUCAGAACUCUGUCCUUAUUCAGCAUCAAAGAUCUACUGUGGUGAGAAAUCCUGUGAAUGUGAUACAUAUGGCAAAGCACUUACUGAGCAUGCAGGCUUCACUGGAAAUACAAGAAUUCACAAUGGAAUUAGACCCUACUAAUGUGAAAAAUAUGAGAAAGCUUUCAGUGCAAACACUGAGCUUAUCAUCAUUCUUGAGAGACCCUAUAAUAAAUGUGACAAGUGUGGAAAUGCCUUUGAACAGUGGUCAACCCCCUUAACUAGCAACAAAGUCUUCACACCAGAGAGAAAUGUUAUGGAUGUAACAAGUGUAAAGCUUUCAGUCAGAACACAGAACUUUUUCAUUAUCUCAGAAUCCACAUUGGAGAGAAACCUUUUCAGUGUAAUCAGUGUAGGAAAAGUUUUCACCAGCACUUCCUCCUUCUUAAAUAUCAGAGAACCCCCUCAAGAGAGAAGUUACAAACAGUAGCACCUCAUCUGACAUUGAAAACUCAUUAAGUAGUCAGCAUCUGUAAAUGGCAAGGCAGAAUUUCUUUAUACCUGACCACUAGGUAUAAAAAUGAAAAUUGCUCCUUCACAAUGUCCCAGAGAAUCCUGUCAGAGGUAACAGAGCAAGCCAUUCACUGUUUCAAAUAAGCUACAUUGUUUUAGUGAUUUGGAGAGUGACCUUGGACCACCAGUUCAGCACGCCGAAUCCUUGAGCCAUUCCUAGGUGUUGUGAUAUAGUGGAACAUGAAGCCCCUCAGCCAAGACUACAAACAAGAAAAUUUGUCUUCUUCUUAUUUUUUUUUAGGUAUGUUAAUUUGCAUUAGCAAAACUUAAGAAUUGCCCAAGGUAGUCUUCAGAGGAGGGGGAUAGCAAACUCAAAUGUCCAGGGGCCAGGCAGGUAACCUAAAUGUGUGAAGCAGUCUAGAGUCAAAAUAAGGAGCCAAACGAUCAGAAAAAUUUUUGCAUUGCAUUAAGGAUUCAAAAAAAUUACCAGAAUCCUCUUUAUUGAUUUUAAGUUCUACUACCGGAGAAUGAUCAAUUUAAUUGUUCAUUUUCGCCACCAUAUACAUACUGAUCUUUUCAUACUUUUGUGUAUAGUAUAUUUUAAGGAAAAGUUUAGUAAGCUUUACUGCUGAAUCAUUUAAAUCAUUAACUAAUACAUUUGAAUUAUCAUUUUCAUAGUAGUCAUUAAAUUAUGACUUAUGUAACCAUCUGUUUUGAUUUGAUAAAGCUGAGAAUGCAAUAUACCAGAAAUGGAUUGGCUUUUACAAUGGGGAUUUUUUAGUUUACAAAUUUGCAGUUCUGUAGGCCAUGAAAAUGUCCCAAUUAAGGCAUCAACAGGAUGAUACCUUCUCUGAAGAAAGGAUGCUGGCAUUCAGGAUUCCUCUGUCACAUGGGAAGGCACAUGGCAGGUGUCUGUUGGUCCUUCUCUCCUGGGUUUCAUUGCGUUCAGCUCCUGGUAUCAGUGGCUCUCAGCUCCUCCAGGGGCUUUUCUCUAAGCUUCUCUCUGGCUGUUUCUUGCUCUGAGCUCCCUGGCUUUUUUCUGCUCUUUAUUCUCUCCUAAAGGACUCCAAGAAAGGAUUAAGACCCACUUUGAAUUGGAUGGGUCAUAUCUCAAUUGAUAAAACCUAAUCAAAUAUCCCACCCACAAUAGGUCCAUACUCACAGGAAUUGGUCAAAAAAACUUGGCCUUUUCUGGGGUACAUAACAGCUUCAAACAAGCAUACCAUAUAAUCAGUGUUUCACAACUUGAUAUCAACUCUAGCACAGGAUCUUUAAAGUGUAUAAAAUGAAUAAUAAACAUUUCAUUACUAUUAGUAGGAUUUUACUUUCUUAGGUGUCAGGAGCUUAAGGGACUAGGAAUCAUGAUGUAAAUCAAACAUGUAUUGGCUAUGAGACUAAUUUUCUCUCAACAAAUCUAUCCAAAGAGCAUAUUUCUGAUUAAAAACAAACUGCCUCUUGUUUCUCUCCAAUCCUCUGUCCUCAGAGUACAUUGAUGCUACACUAACAAAUUCUUGAAGCCCAGGACACAAUCUAAUUAUAUUCUUAAUCAUCAGAUAUAAUGAGUUAUAACUGAUGUAAUAACUCAUGUAUAAUUGAUGUAAUGUUAUAAUAAGUAACUCUACAUUAACCUCAAAAUAAAACUGAACUCAUUAUCAAUCA